rnacentral:rRNA from 1 species
UACGAAGGGGGCUAGCGUUGCUCGGAAUCACUGGGCGUAAAGGGUGCGUAGGCGGGUCUCUAAGUCAGGGGUGGAAUCCUGGAGCUCAACUCCAGAACUGCCUUUGAUACUGGCGAUCUUGAGUCCGGGAGAGGUGAGUGGAACUGCGAGUGUAGAGGUGAAAUUCGUAGAUAUUCGCAAGAACACCAGUGGCGAAGGCGGCGACCUGGGCCAAUACUGACGCUGAGGUGCGAAAGCGUGGGGAGCAAACAGG